UGGGGAAUCUUGCGCAAUGGUCGAAAGACUGACGCAGCGACGCCGCGUGCGGGAGGAAGCUCUUCGGGGUGUAAACCGCUGUUGCCCGGAACGAAACGCCUUUUUCGAGAGGCUUGACGGUACCGGGUGAGGAAGCGCCGGCUAACUCUGUGCCAGCAGCCGCGGUAAUACAGAGGGCGCGAGCGUUGUCCGGAAUCACUGGGCGUAAAGGGCGCGUAGGUGGCGGCAUAAGGCUGUGGUGAAAGUCUGGGGCUCAACUCCAGAUCGGCCGCGGCGACUGUGUCGCUUGGGCACCGUAGAGGCAGAUGGAAUUCCGGGUGUAGCGGUGGAAUGCGUAGAGAUCCGGAAGAACACCAGUGGCGAAGGCGGUCUGCUGGGCGGUGAGCUCGCGAGAGCUCAAUAGCCGACACUGAGGCGCGACAGCGUGGGGAGCAAACAGG
rnacentral:rRNA from 1 species